AGAAAGGAAUAGAAAUAGGGAGAAAGAAAAUUAUAGAGAGAGGAGGAAAGUUCUAGAGAGAGAGAAGGAGGUAGCCGCCGCUCCGGCCACGAGGAGUCCGGUUCCGGCCGAGCCUUCUUCAUGAAAUCUUCACAGAACUUAGAAGAGAACAUUCUUAACUUUUAGAUCAUCGAAAACCAUCAAGAAAUGAGGAAAAAUCUAAAGAGGAUUACGCUCAAAACCUGAGAAGGAAGUUGUAAUCGAUUCAGAUCGGAAAUGGGAGUUUCGGCGUUCGUCAAAGAGGAGAAAGGAGGAGGCUGCGCUUCGCCGGAGGAGAAGGGCCACGUGUCAAGCGUCCAUUGGAGAAGAAAAAAAAAUCAAAGAAAUACUUCGCGUCGGGCGGGAUUCGAUGGCCGGCGGCCCGCUACUCGAGUUCGCGACCCGAUGACCCGCGCGCAACCCGGACCACCGACCCGGCUUCUCGUUGCCACGCGUCAGCGUAAAAGAAUUCGAAUUUCCAGCGCGUCCUUCCGGUUUCGAACCGACGACCUCGACCUCGGCUGACCGUUCAUCGGGGCGCCACGUGGCAACACCUCAGCGCGCGUCUCCCCUCCCUCAUGCGCGUCCGUACGCGCGCGUGGCCGUGCGCGUGUAGCUCCUUCCCAGGCGCGUGUGAGCGCGUGAGGGUUUAAAUGAGAAAAUUCAGUAUUUGUGGACACUCUACUGGUGUAGAAAUGCUCAACGAAGAACACGCGUCAAUCGGGUAAGUCACCACCUGGAACUUUAGGAAGAAAUACUUGCAGGAGUCGCUUGGUUAUGCAUGCAUGCUAGUUUAAUUACCUUAGGUGGUAUUUUUCCAUGAUUGAAUGUAAGUAAUUUGAUUGUUAAGAGUAUGGAUGUAUUAUGUGAAAUAUUACGAAAAUUAUCUGA